rnacentral:rRNA from 1 species
GUYUUUUUGAAUUUUAUUUAAAGUYUAACCUGCCCAUUGAAAAUUUUAAAAGGCUGCAGUAUAUUGACUGUACAAAGGUAGCAUAAUCAUUAGUUUUUUAAUUGAGAACUUGUAUGAAUGGUUGGAUGAGAAAAUUUCUGUUUUAAUUUAAAUAAUAGAAUUUCACUUUUUUAUUAGAAGGUAAAAAUAAAUUUAAUAGACGAGAAGACCCUAUAGAGUUUUAUUUAUUAUAUAAAUUUUAUAAAUUAGAAAGUUAUUUAUUAUAAAAAUAUUUAUUUUUUUUUAUUUUUAUAGUAAAUUUUAUUGGGGUGAUAACAAAAUUUAAUUAACUUUUGUUUAUUUCUACGUUGAUAAACGACUUAUUGAUCCAUUAUUAGUGAUUACAAAAUUAAAUUACCUUAGGGAUAACAGCGUAAUUUUUUUUUUAAGUUCAUAUUUAUAGAAAAUUUUGCGACCUCGAUGUUGGAUUAAGGAUAAUUUUUGGUGUAGCUGCUUUAAUAUUUAAGUCUGUUCGACUUUUAAAUUCUU